AACGAACGCUGGCGGCAGGCCUAACACAUGCAAGUCGAACGAACUCUUCGGAGUUAGUGGCGGACGGGUGAGUAACACGUGGGAACGUGCCCUUUGGUUUGGAAUAACUCAGGGAAACUUGUGCUAAUACCGAAUGUGCCCUUCGGGGGAAAGAUUUAUCGCCAUUAGAGCGGCCCGCGUCUGAUUAGCUAGUUGGUGAGGUAACGGCUCACUAAGGCGACGAUCAGUAGCUGGUCUGAGAGGAUGACCAGCCACACUGGGACUGAGACACGGCCCAGACUCCUACGGGAGGCAGCAGUGGGGAAUCUUGCGCAAUGGGCGAAAGCCUGACGCAGCCAUGCCGCGUGAAUGAUGAAGGUCUUAGGAUUGUAAAAUUCUUUCACCGGGGACGAUAAUGACGGUACCAGGAGAAGAAGCCCCGGCUAACUUCGU
rnacentral:rRNA from 1 species